AACGAACGCUGGCGGCAUGCCUAACACAUGCAAGUCGAACGAGACCUUCGGGUCUAGUGGCGCACGGGUGCGUAACGCGUGGGAACCUGCCCUUAGGUUCGGAAUAACUCCCCGAAAGGGGUGCUAAUACCGGAUAAUGUCUUCGGACCAAAGAUUUAUCGCCUUUGGAUGGGCCCGCGUUGGAUUAGCUAGUUGGUAGGGUAAAAGCCUACCAAGGCGACGAUCCAUAGCUGGUCUGAGAGGAUGAUCAGCCACACUGGGACUGAGACACGGCCCAGACUCCUACGGGAGGGAGGAGUGGGGAAUAGUGGACAAUGGGCGAAGGCCUGAUCCAGCAAUGCCGGGUGAGUGAUGAAGGCCUUAGGGUUGUAAAGCUCUUUUACCCGGGAUGAUAAUGACAGUACCGGGAGAAUAAGCUCCGGCUAACUCCGUG
rnacentral:rRNA from 1 species